GAUGAAGAACGUAGCGAAAUGCGAUAAGUAAUGUGAAUUGCAGAAUUCAGUGAAUCAUCGAAUCUUUGAACGCACAUUGCGCCCCUUGGUAUUCCGAGGGGCAUGUCUGUUCGAGCGUCAUUAUAACCCUCAAGCUCAGCUUGGUGUUGGGGCCUGCUGCACUGGCAGCCCUUAAAAUCAGUGGCGGCGCCAUCUGGCUCUAAGCGUAGUAAUUCUUCUCGCUAUGGAGUCCUGGUGGAUGCUUGCCAUCAACCCCCAAUUUUUCUAUGGUUGACCUCGGAUCAGGUAGGGAUACCCGCUGAACUUAAGCAUAUCAAUAAGCGGAGGA
rnacentral:misc_RNA from 1 species